rnacentral:rRNA from 1 species
GACGAACGCUGGCGGCGUGCUUAACACAUGCAAGUCGAACGGAAAGGCCCUGCUUUUGUGGGGUGCUCGAGUGGCGAACGGGUGAGUAACACGUGAGUAACCUGCCCUUGACUUUGGGAUAACUUCAGGAAACUGGGGCUAAUACCGGAUAGGAGCUCCUGCUGCAUGGUGGGGGUUGGAAAGUUUCGGCGGUUGGGGAUGGACUCGCGGCUUAUCAGCUUGUUGGUGGGGUAGUGGCUUACCAAGGCUUUGACGGGUAGCCGGCCUGAGAGGGUGACUGGCCACAUUGGGACUGAGAUACGGCCCAGACUCCUACGGGGGGCAGCAGUGGGGAAUAUUGCACAAUGGGCGGAAGCCUGAUGCAGCAACGCCGCGUGCGGGAUGACGGCCUUCGGGUUGUAAACCGCUUUCGCCUGUGACGAAGCGUGAGUGACGGUAAUGGGUAAAGAAGCACCGGCUAACUACGUG